UGUCUGUUGUCCGACCCCGCGUCUGU
rnacentral:piRNA from 1 species